AACGUAGGAGACAAACGUUAUCCGGAGUUACUGGGCGUAAAGGGCGUGUAGGUGGUUUAGUAAGUCUGGCGUGAAAUUUUUCGGCUUAACCGGGAAAGGUCGUCGGAUACUGCAAGACUAGAGGACGGUAGAGGCGUGUGGAAUUCCGGGUGUAGUGGUGAAAUGCGUAGAGAUCCGGAGGAACACCAAUGGCGAAGGCGACACGCUGGGCCGUACCUGACACUGAUGCGCGACAGCAUGGGGAGCAAACAGG
rnacentral:rRNA from 1 species